rnacentral:rRNA from 1 species
GACGAACGCUGGCGGCGUGCCUAAUACAUGCAGGUCGAGCGCGGGAAGCUUGCGGAAUCUUUCGGGAGGAGGUGAGCGGACCGAGCGGCGGACGGGUGAGUAACACGUGGGCAACCUGCCCGUAAGACGGGGAUAACCCCGGGAAGCCGGGGCUAAUACCGGAUAGGUGACCUUUCUGCAUGGAGGGGUCAUGAAAGGCGGCGGAAGCCGUCGCUUACGGAGGGGCCCGCGGCGCAUUAGCUAGUUGGUGAGGGAAGGGCUCACCAAGGCGACGAUGCGUAGCCGGCCUGAGAGGGUGAACGGCCACACUGGGACUGAGACACGGCCCAGACUCCUACGGGAGGCAGCAGUAGGGAAUCUUCCGCAAUGGACGGAAGUCUGACGGAGCAACGCCGCGUGAGUGAGGAAGGCCUUCGGGUCGUAAAGCUCUGUUGUUCGUGAAGAAGGGGUUGGCCAGGAAAUGGGCCGACAUUGACGGUAGCGAACCAGAAAGCCCCGGCUAACUACAUGCCAGCAGCCGCGGUAACACGUAGGGGGCAAGCGUUGUCCGGAAUGAUUGGGCGUAAAGGGCGCGCAGGCGGCCUCUUAAGUCUGAUGUGAAAGCCCACGGCUCAACCGUGGAGGGACAUUGGAAACUGGGGGGCUUGAGUGCAGGAGAGGGGAGUGGAAUUCCACGUGUAGCGGUGAAAUGCGUAGAGAUGUGGAGGAACACCAGUGGCGAAGGCGGCUCUCUGGCCUGUGACUGACGCUGAGGCGCGAAAGCGUGGGGAGCGAACAGGAUUAGAUACCCUGGUAGUCCACGCCGU